CAGGGUUUGACGGGCUGAGGUUUGAGUUAGCCAUAGUCAACUGUCAUCUGAAAAUAGUGACACAUUAAAGAACAACAUGUAAUGUGCAUCCAUUCUGGAGUUGAUCAAUGUGAGGAUAAGGGCAGAUGCUGCCACAGAGACUGUCAUUCCCACAGACAUUUAAAUAUAUUAGCACUUGGGGGCCAGGUGUG